UGGCGGCAGGCCUAACACAUGCAAGUCGAGCGGUAACAGAAAGAAAGCUUGCUUUCUUUGCUGACGAGCGGCGGACGGGUGAGUAAUGCCUAGGGAUCUGCCCAGUCGAGGGGGAUAACAGUUGGAAACGACUGCUAAUACCGCAUACGCCCUACGGGGGAAAGGAGGGGACCUUCGGGCCUUUCGCGAUUGGAUGAACCUAGGUGGGAUUAGCUAGUUGGUGAGGUAAUGGCUCACCAAGGCGACGAUCCCUAGCUGUUCUGAGAGGAUGAUCAGCCACACUGGGACUGAGACACGGCCCAGACUCCUACGGGAGGCAGCAGUGGGGAAUAUUGCACAAUGGGGGAAACCCUGAUGCAGCCAUGCCGCGUGUGUGAAGAAGGCCUUCGGGUUGUAAAGCACUUUCAGUUGUGAGGAAAGGGUGUUGCUUAAUACGUAACAUCUGUGACGUUAGCAACAGAAGAAG
rnacentral:rRNA from 1 species